rnacentral:rRNA from 5 species
CGGACCUCAGAUCAGGCAAGACCACC